AGAACAUGUUUACUCCGGAGAAUGUAUUUGGACUGGCCAGGGUCAUCAACGUCAUUAUGCUUGCUACUGUGUCUACAAUUGUUGAAAGCCUACUAUUUGCUACAAUUUGCACCGUACUUUGUAAUGAAAUAAAGGCCAACAAUUCACUAGAAUUGCAUAUGUGCCGCCAAUAGUUGUUGUUCCUGUGUCAGUCACUUGCCAAUAACGUACGGUCAUGUCUGUGUUAUCAUUGAAACAUCACUGCUCAGUGAUUAUUUAAUCAGUAUUCAUGUGUUUCUGUUACCAUCUGUCUUGUAUUCAUUUAAAUAUAAAUGGACUACCUCUGUCGAAGUAUGAGGGCCAUUCUGGGAUUUCAAAUUGUUAUGAGUACAUGUGAUUAUUGGACUCUGAUAAACACCAAAAAAAUCUGCUAAAGAAUUGGAU
rnacentral:lncRNA from 1 species